rnacentral:rRNA from 1 species
AUNGGNAGUUAAUUAUAAUCCUUUUACKRGGAUCUAGUGGAGGGCWAGUCGCCAGCAGCCGCGGUAAUUCCAGCUCCACAAGCGUAUGUUAAAAUUGUUGCGGUUAAAACGUUCGAAGUUCAUUUUUGUCCAGUACGGGUGUUGCACCAUCAAGUAAGGGUCGCAGAUUCCGAUUACUUGGACUAUAUGACUGAACACUAAAUGAGCGUGAUACCUUUACUAGGUUAAACGUCAUUAAGAAAAGCUCGGUUUAUUUAAAAUUUUAGGUUUGAUACAGAUCAAGAGGUAAUGAUUAAUAGAGCAUGUAAUAAAAGGCUCGGUCUUAUUUUUCAUUGGUUUAUACAGUCAAGAGGUAAUGAUUAAUAGAAGCAGUUGGGGGCAUUAGUAUUGCGGCGCGAGAGGUGAAAUUCUUAGACCGUCGCAAGACUAGCUAAAGCGAAGGCAUUUGCCAAGGAUGUUUUCAUUAAUCAAGAACGAAAGUUAGAGGAUUGAAGACGAUUAGAUACCGUCCUAAUUCUAACCAUAAACGAUUACAGCCAGCAAUUGGAUGUCGCUACUAUUAUGGCGCAUUCAGAGCUUCCGGGAAACCAAAGCUAGUUCCGGGGGAAGUAUGGUUGCAAAGUUGAAACUUAAAGGAAUUGACGGAAGGGCACCACCAGGAGUGGAGCCUGCGGCUUAAUUUGACUCAACACGGRAAAACUYACC